rnacentral:rRNA from 1 species
UGGGGAAUAUUGGGCAAUGGGCGAAAGCCUGACCCAGCAACGCCGCGUGAGGGAAGAAGGGUUUCGGCUCGUAAACCUCUGUCCUAUGGGACGAAGGAAGUGACGGUACCAUAGGAGGAAGCCCCGGCUAACUACGUGCCAGCAGCCGCGGUAAUACGUAGGGGGCGAGCGUUGUCCGGAAUGAUUGGGCGUAAAGGGCGCGUAGGCGGCCUGGUAAGUCCGGAGUGAAAGUCCUGCUUUUAAGGUGGGAAUUGCUUUGGAUACUGCUGGGCUUGAGUGCAGGAGAGGUAAGCGGAAUUCCUAGUGUAGCGGUGAAAUGCGUAGAUAUUAGGAAGAACACCA